UACGUGCAUGGUCUUGGUCAGACGCAAACCAGCGCCAUUUAGCCCUGGAGUAGGACGCUCGAUGCUGUGGACAUGGAACCUAACAAAUUGUGAAUGUAGACAUUCUCCAACUUAUUAGCACCUUUUGUCUCCUAUGGUCAUUUCUUUAGUUGUUCACCUUGGAGACUGAUAGCAUCCACAUGGACACCAUGCUGCUGGUGCUCUCAGUGCACUGGCUUCUGCUCCCGUGGGGGCUGCAGUGUGUUUGGGCACAGGACUAUAGAGGAUAUGAAGAGGUGGUGACUUCCAAAAGGAGUAACAGGCAAUAUACAUCCAAUUAUGUGCCAAAUAAUGGCAAAUCACUUACGGAUGAAGCCUGCAGUCUGGAAUUAGCCUUUUUGAUCGACAGCUCCGAGAGUGCCAAAGACAAUCAUGCCCAGGAGAAACAGUUUGCAUCAGAAGUGACCGAGCGACUGCAGGGCCUCCGCCUGCAGAGCGGCCGCAGCCUCGUCACCCGCUCGGCUCUCCUUCAGUACAGUAGCCACGUCAUCAUAGAGCAGACCUUUAACCAGUGGCAGGGUCCCGACAGCUUCAAGGCCCGCAUUGCUCCCAUGACAUAUAUCGGCCAUGGCACCUACACCACCUACGCCAUCACAAACCUCACACGCAUCUACCUGGAAGAGUCGGCUCCCAGCAGCAUCAAGGUGGCCAUUCUGCUCUUUGACGGUAUCUCGCACCCCAGGAACCCAGACAUAUCUUCAGCCGUGGCUGAUGCCAAGAACCAGGGCAUCCGCUUUUUCACCGUCGGAAUUACUCCUGAAGCCAAGGAGUCUGCCAAUAUUGCCCAGCUGCGGCUAAUUGCAAGCUCGCCAGACUCCCGCUACCUUCAUAACCUGCAAGACAGAGGCAUUGUGGAAAAAGUCAUCAGAGAGAUUACCACACUGGCAGAGGAAGGGUGUCCACUUGUGCAGAGCCUGUGUGCAUGUGAGAAGGGUGAGCGGGGGCCCAGCGGCCCAGCUGGCAAGAAGGGCCGUCCUGGAGAGGAUGGCAUCCCAGGACUAAAGGGACACAAGGGUGAGGCUGGGCUCAGCGGACUUCCAGGUCGAGAAGGUGCUGAGGGCAGACCAGGAUCCAAAGGGGAGCAGGGGGAGAGAGGAGAGUGUGGCUCACCUGGAAUUAAGGGAGACAGAGGUCCUGAAGGGUCCAUUGGCCCCAGGGGGAAUCGUGGGCUUCAGGGUUUGCCUGGUCCUCCUGGUGAUGUUGGACCUGAAGGUGUGAUUGGUAAAAAAGGGGAACGAGGACUUCGUGGCCCACCUGGAAUCCAAGGGGAAACAGGAAUCGGGCUCCCAGGACAAAAGGGUAAUGUCGGUCUCCAGGGGCAACCAGGGCCAAUAGGUCCAGUGGGCCUUGGUGAGCCUGGACCACUGGGGCCUCAAGGGCCACAAGGAAUCCAAGGAGAAAGGGGGCCUUUGGGAGAAGGUCUCCCUGGCCCAAAGGGGGAGCGAGGCUUGGAGGGGCCCCGGGGGCCCAGAGGACUAUCGGGUAUUGGAAUUAAAGGAGGCAAGGGGGAGUUUGGUCCUCCGGGUCCUGCAGGCCUCGUCGGCCUACCAGGUCUCGGCAUCCAGGGUGAGAAGGGCAUUGAAGGUCCGAGAGGGCCACGAGGGCUACGUGGACCACCGGGAGAAGGCCUACCUGGACCCAAGGGAGAACAGGGGUUCCCGGGUGAUGUUGGCUCUCCAGGAGAGAGAGGACUGGGAGAACAUGGAGAUAAGGGUGAGCAAGGAUCACCAGGAAUAUCGGGGUUACCUGGUUUGCCAGGGGAGGAUGGAGCGCCUGGACAGAAAGGUGAGCCAGGAGCUCCAGGCCUGAGGGGCCCGGAGGGGUCACCUGGGACUGGAACACAGGGUGAAAAGGGUGACCAAGGUCAAAGGGGAAUAAGAGGCCUGACUGGGCCACCUGGCAUUAGUGGCCCAUUAGGACCCAAGGGUGAACCAGGGUCACAAGGCAGGGUGGGUUUACCUGGUCUACCAGGACGCUUUGUAAUGGGACCCAAGGGUGAUGUUGGUCCAAAUGGCCCUCCUGGUCCGGUUGGGGAGACCGGCUAUGGGCUUCCCGGUCCAAAGGGUGACCAUGGAGAUCUAGGCCCUGCCGGUCCAUUUGGCCAAAAAGGAGAAGGCUAUCCCGGCCCGAUGGGGCCCCCUGGUCUACCUGGGCUUCCAGGAGAACCCGGCCCUGAAGGGAUAGGUUUACCUGGUCCAAAGGGGGAUAUUGGUUUCCGAGGGCUGCUUGGUUUACCGGGAUCUCCAGGUGAAGGACUCCCGGGACCUCAGGGUCAUCCUGGGCGACCGGGCCCCCUGGGGCCAGUGGGGCCACCAGGAGUAGGAGUCCAGGGACCAAAGGGUGAACAGGGGAUCCAGGGUGUGACAGGACCAAGGGGGCCUGCUGGAGAAGGCUUUCCUGGAGCUAAAGGUGACCGUGGUUCGGCAGGGGAGAGGGGCCUGAAGGGCUUCACGGGAGAUAUGGGUGACCCAGGGAACCCAGGGCAACCCGGUCAAUCUGGUGUCAAAGGAGAAGCAGGUCUCACAAGGGAGGACGUCAUUAGAUUGAUCAGAGAAAUUUGUGGAUGUGGGAUCAAGUGUAAGGAGAGGCCUAUGGAGCUGGUGUUUGUCAUUGACAGCUCAGAGAGCGUGGGUCCCGAGAACUUUGAGAUCAUUAAGGACUUUGUCAACGCACUGGUUGACCGAGUCACGGUGGGCCGCAACUCCACCAGGAUUGGCCUGGUACUGUACAGCCUGGAGGUGAGGCUGGUGUUCAACCUGGCCCGCUAUGUAACCAAACAGGACAUCAAACAGGCCAUUAGGAACAUACAAUACAUGGGAGAGGGCACCUACACUGGUACGGCCAUCCGCAAAGCGACCCAGGAAGCCUUUUACAGUUCACGCCUGGGAGUCAGUAAAGUUGCCAUUGUUAUUACGGAUGGACAGGCGGACAAACGGGAGCCAGUGAAGCUCGGUAUUGCCGUACGUGAAGCUCACGCGGCCAAUAUCGAAAUGUUUGCCCUCGGUAUUGUCAACACUUCGGAUCCAACACAGGCAGAGUUUCUUCGGGAGCUCAACCUGAUUGCAUCUGAUCCAGACUCCGAUCACAUGUUUCUUAUUGAUGACUUCAACACCUUACCAGCUUUGGAAUCCAAGUUGGUCAGCCAGUUCUGUGAGGACGAGAAUGGAGACCUUAUAUAUAACAGACUGACUAAUGUAAACAAUGGCCAUAGCAACAGCAGGAAUGGUAACAAUGGGAAGUAUGCCAAAGGCGGCAGUGGGUACCAGCCUGCCAAUGACUGGGAACUCCUGAACACCCGUCAGUUCAACAACCAGAACCAUGGGGACAAGGUGGAGAGCAUCCAGUAUGGCCAUGAAGGAUCCAGUACAGGACAACAAGUUCUUCCAGGGACAACAAACUGGGGGAGAGAGCGUGGGGACACUUUUAACGAUGGGAGCACAGCAUUCAAACCUAUUCCUUCUUCCAGAGAAGACUCUUCCUCAGUGAAUGUAACAUCAUCAUCAUCAGGCGUAUCUGGGAAGUAUGUUCCUGCACCAAGACCAACUCUUCCCAAAGAGACCGCAACCUUGGACCCUCGCUGUGCCUUGGCUCUAGAUCAGGGCUUGUGCCGCGAAUACGUCAUCCGCUGGUACUAUGACAAGCAGGCCAAUGCAUGUGCUCAGUUUUGGUUCGGAGGCUGCAGCGGUAACAAGAACCGCUUUGACACAGAGGAGGAAUGCAAGAAGACUUGUGUGGAAACCACAUCUACUGGAAGCUGAGUGAAGGCACUGUAUAGAUUCUGAAUUUGCUUCAGAGUCCAACAUUUUUCAUCACUCCUACUCAGGAACAGAGGCCGGGGGUCGCCACAGCGCGUCAUCCUUUUCCAUGUAAGCCUAUCUCCUGCAUCCUCCUCUCGAACACCAACUGCCCUCAUGUCUUCCCUCACGACAUUCCACUUCUUCGACUUCGACCCACAGUAGCUGAAUUUCCACCGGCGCCGGUGGCGGACGUUGUUAACCCGGGGGCCACGACCGAUCUGGUAUGGAAUUCUUUGGAUGAACGCUCAUAUUUGUUUGGCAAAGUUUUAAGCCGGAUGCCCUUCCUCACGCAACCCUCUGCAUUUAUCCGAGCUUGGGACCGGCCUACAGUUUGCACUGACUUGUGCCCCCCAUAGGGCUGCAUUAAUGAUCAACCAUUGGAUAUAUCAGUGCUUAGUUUUUCAAACAUAAGGAUCUGCUCUGGUUCUUGUUAAACAUCAUAAUUAACGCAUUAUUUUGCACGGGGACUAUUGGCUUUUGAUAGAUUUUGAUGGUCAUUCCUGAUGCUCAUUCCAUCACACAUGCCUGAAAUUUUGUGAUUAACACACCUGCGUUAUUCACAAAUAAAUUAAGGAAACUAUUACCCCCAGUUUGCAAAAUUAAAAAAGAAUGAGAUGUUCUUUUUUUUUAGGGGUUCUUUUACCUCUCCACAAAGUUUAAAAUAAAUUGAAUGGUAUUUGCAUAAUCAUGCAAAUGUAUAAACAGCAAUAAAAACAACCUCAUUGACAGUGGUGUUAAUGUAAUGUAAUGAUACUUAAGUUGCAGUGCAUGUAUUCAUCAAAGAUUUAAAAUCUGUAAAACAAAUGGCUCAAUCGAUAAUAAUGAAUAAUUUAGUUACAUGCUAAUUUGACACAAAUGAGUCUGAAGCCAUGCCGAUAAGCAUCCUUUUGUAUUAGGAGCGGGACAAACUAGAUACUGUGAUGUAUUGUACCAUUGAUGAGUACGAUCAAGUAUAUAUACACCAGUAUCAAAUAUUUAUACCCAUGCGGUCUGAUAAAGUAUGUGAAUCUAUAAUUUCCCUAAUGUGCUGUGUAUCAGCACUGCAUAUCCAUCCAUCCAUUUUCUGAGCCACUUCUCCUCACAAGGGUCGCGGGAGUGCUGGAGCCUAUCCCAGCUAUCAUAGGGGCAGGAGGCGGGUACACCCUGAACUGGUUGCCAGCCAAUCGCAGGGCACAUACAAUCAAACAACCAUUCGCAAUCACAUUCACACCUACGGGCAAUUUAGAGUCUUCAAUUAACCUACCAUGCAUGUUUUGGGGAUGUGGGAGGAAACCGGAGUGCCCGGAGAAAACCCACGCAGGCACAGGGAGAACAUGCAAACUCCACACAGGCGGGGCCGGGGAUUGAACCCCGGUCCUCAAAACUGUGAGGCAGACGCUCUAACCAGUCACUCACCGUGCCGCUGCACUGCAUAUCAAAACCACAAAUCAAAUUGUGGUUGUGUUUAAAAGUUAAAAGUUUCUUGCUACUGAAAAAAAAUAUUAAUUGGCCAUAUCCGCUUGUAAAAAGUGGGAGAAAAAUCUGUUUUUUUGUAUGCUGAAUCUGUAAGACUGUCUAUACGGUUUCCCUUCUUAAUGGAUAUCAUAAUUUCUUUUUCUGAUUGCUGCUUAACUGGGAUAUUGUCACUGUCAAAAUAUAUGUGCUUGUAUGUAUGGUGAGUUACACUUUGAUUCACAUCCCCAUUUUGUAUGUAACACUGGCAGCUAUAAAUAUAUCCUUAGUCAAGUCAAGCUAUUCCAGGGCUCUGACACUAUUGUCUUCACUCUAA